AUUGAACGCUGGCGGCAGGCCUAACACAUGCAAGUCGGGCGAGCGGAGGACGGGCGAGCAAUGUAUGGGGAUCUGCCUGAUGGAGGGGGCUAACUACGGGAAACGGUAGAUAAUACCGCAUACCAUCAGAUGAACCCAUGUGGUAUUAGCUGUUAGGUGAGGUAACGGCUCACCUGGGCGACGAUCCCUAGCUGGGCUGAGAGGAGGAUCGGCCACACUGGGACUGAGACCCGGCCCAGACUCCUACGGGAGGCAGCAGUGGGGAAUAUUGCACAAUGGGCGAAAGCCUGAUGCAGCCACGCCGCGUGUAUGAAGAAGGCCUUCGGUGUGUAAAGUUCUUUCGGUCGGGAGGCGUUACCGACACAAAAAGCACCGGCUAACUCCGUGCCAGCAGCCGCGGUAAUAC
rnacentral:rRNA from 1 species